rnacentral:rRNA from 1 species
GACGAACGCUGGCGGCGUGCUUAACACAUGCAAGUCGAACGGAAAGGCCCUGCUUUUGUGGGGUGCUCGAGUGGCGAACGGGUGAGUAACACGUGAGUAACCUGCCCUUGACUUUGGGAUAACUUCAGGAAACUGGGGCUACUACCGGAUAGGAGCUCCUGCUGCAUGGUGGGGGUUGGAAAGUUUCGGCGGUUGGGGAUGGACUCGCGGCUUAUCAGCUUGUUGGUGGGGUAGUGGCUUACCAAGGCUUUGACGGGUAGCCGGCCUGAGAGGGUGACCGGGCACAUUGGGACUGAGAGACGGCCCAGACGCCUACGGGAGGCAGCAGUGGGGAAUAUGGCACAAUGGGCGGAAGCCUGAUGCAGCAACGCCGCGUGCGGGAUGACGGCCUGCGGGGUGUAAACCGCUUUCGCCUGUGACGAAGCGUGAGUGACGGUAAUGGGUAAAGAAGCACCGGCUAACUACGUG